CCACGUGCACUGUACCAGCACAUUAAACCCUUACAAUAACAACUCAUUACAUUAAAAUAUCACAUCACUCACAGUGGCUGGAGUUUCCUAUCACCAAUCAGUAAAACAGGUCCUUCUCUGCUCUAUCAACUCUCUACAAGCCUAGUGAACAAUGCGCAUGCGCAAUCACCAAUCAGCUCUCCACCUACAGUGCAUUGUGAGCAUCGAGAUUAAUGCAAUAUGAUGCAAUUUUUCUAAGCAAUCCAGAUAAAAAUAACUCCAGCAAACUGCUUUGUUACCUGUAUCAGCUUGUUUUUCCUUCAGUAGACAUCGCAAUUGGCUUUAGAAAUUAAUUUUGUAAUUAUUCCAAAAUAAAACCUUUAUUACAUGCAUCUAAUGAUGAAAGGCAGCUCAAAAUACACACAAGUCAACCAUUUUUUAUUAAAGCAUUAUAUCAUAUUAUUAUACCAUUAUAUACGUUUAUAAAUACACACACACACACACACACACACACACACACACACACACACACACACACACACACACACACACACACACACACGGACUUGUCCACAAGAUGUCGCUAUAACACUGUUGUGUUAAGACAUAUUCACGUACUUUUAGCACGGUUUGAAGCCUCUUGAUGUACCGUAGUGUUGGAUGGUUAAACACCUGCCUGCUGUAACCACGUUGUUCUAAAUAAAGUGGUGACUUUUACAGCAAGCCGUUUUAACAUUUACUGGCUAAAAUUGACUAUCCUGAAUGAACAUUACAGAUAUUAACAACAUAUUUUUAACUAGUUGUAACUGCAUUCUGACUAGUCACAAUGACAGUUAGAGAUAUCUGUCAUUCAGAUUUGAAUAGUCAGAAGUAAGUGACAGAUAUCUGCAAUGACGUCACUGACACCGAUAUUCAGCUCGUCACACAUCCUUAAUGACAAUUGCAGAUAUCUAUAAUUGAGCUUUGCGGAGGCAGGAAAGUUAAAAUAAAUGAAAGUUAUAGAUAUCGCAAACCUCAUUUUGACUCGUCAGUAUAGUUGUGACUUCCCAUUGGAUAUUCACCCAGCAAACAAAUGAUUUGAGUUUUACAUGGAGCAGAAGAAAUGGAGGUUGGUGUUGUAGAUAAAAUAAUUAGAAAUGCCAUGAAAUAGAACGCGUACACAAUCAAGGGAUUUGUGGGGAACGAGAGCUUCGUUCACUUGAGAGUUGUCUAAGACAUUUACGUCGUAUUGAACAUUUAUUGUCUCCAGACACACUUGAGGACCUACAACAGAGUCUGGAUGGUCUCAGGACACUGAUGUCUGAAGUUAUGUUACCUGUAAAUCAAGGGUUUUCAGCCUCUCGAAUUCAUUCAGGACGUCAAUGUGACGGGUCUCCUGCUUCCCCGCUACGGCCGGCCAGUGGGUGGCGCUGUACCGCUAAAUCGUGUGCACCUGUUGCUUGUUAUCUCUCCUUAUUUAAGUUUGGUGUUGAUUGUGUUCGGGGGAUUUUUCCGCUUGGGUUCUGUUUGGUUUCUUCCUUAUUUUGUAAGUAUUGUUUUCCAGUUGUGUUCUCCAAUACACUGUCACGUUUAAACUGUUAAAACAUUCUGUUAAAGCUCAGACUAAUUAUUCACAUUUUAAAUAAAAGAUUAAAUGGUAGUUUGGUUUUCACUGCGUCCUCCCUUUUUUUUGUCAUGACUUGAGCCGGUUGUGACAGUCAAGGACGACCAGCCAUUCAGGUAACCAGGGACCAAAUUGGUUUUCUUUUGAAGCAAGGCAACGCAGUUAAGCGAACUGCAAAACUUUUUGAAUGUUUCUCCUCAUUUUUAUAUAAGAGGACAAAGUUGCUUGGUGUACCAGUGAGGAGCAGAUUUUCUGCAAUAGAAAAUGAAGAACUUGAACAUCAUGUAAGAAGGCUUCAAAACCUGCAUCCAAAUUCUGGAUAUGAGAUGAUGAGAGCCUUGUUACGUGUGGAUGGAUUGCUGGUCCCAUGACGUAGGGUGUGAGAGAUGUUGGCUCAGGUAAACCCAGCAGCUACUGCUACACAGCAAAAACUGGAGAGUUGAAAUUUUGGUGUUAAACAUUUCAGAGUUGACUUCAACUCCCAAAGAGUAACACAUUCAGAGUAAAAUGGUGUUUGGUGUUGGAGUCAUUUCACAGAGUUGAUCAUCAGUGUUAAACCAACUCCAUGGAGAUGUAAUUGGACUCCGCCCACGCAUUUUCAAUUGUCGCUAAUGAAAUCCAUGAAGACGCCACCCGCCAUUAUCCUCGCGUCGGUUUGAAAGGAGAUGGAGCGGCACUGUGGCAAGACGGGUGUAUCAUGCACCUUACCCCAACAGCCUGUGGCAUAUAGAUGGAAUUAUGCGCCUUUAUAAGGUGAAUUCAACAUGGGGGAAAAAUGUUGGUUACCCACAAUCUAUGACCUCUAUACUGUAAUGAUUUAGUCAAUGCUAUAGGUCAGGUUUUCAAUAUUUAGCCAUGCAGUAGACAUCAAGUCAGUGCUACUGACAAUUAUUAGGGAAUGGAAUAGAACAGAAAUGAAAUAGCUAUUGGCCAAUAAAGACAGCCAGUGCAGAGUUUCAUUUGUGUGCUUUAGUGUAAAUGUACGACCUUGGCAGCCUGUUUUGGUUGUCUUUGUCAUGUAGGCUGCAACUCGGGCAGCGCGGAAUCCUCUGGUGUCUUCUGUUGUUUUUUGAUGUCUGGUAUUGUCUGCGUCAUUGUUUCAUGUUUUUUAGUUAAU